rnacentral:rRNA from 1 species
CCUACGGGUGGUAGCAGUGGGGAAUAUUGGACAAUGGGGGCAACCCUGAUCCAGCCAUGCCGCGUGUGUGAAGAAGGCCCUCGGGUUGUAAAGCACUUUCAGUGAGGAAGAACGCCUGGUGGUUAAUACCCAUCAGGAAAGACAUCACUCACAGAAGAAGCACCGGCUAACUCCGUGCCAGCAGCCGCGGUAAUACGGAGGGUGCGAGCGUUAAUCGGAAUUACUGGGCGUAAAGCGCGCGUAGGUGGCUUGAUAAGCCGGUUGUGAAAGCCCCGGGCUCAACCUGGGAACGGCAUCCGGAACUGUCAAGCUAGAGUGCAGGAGAGGAAGGUAGAAUUCCCGGUGUAGCGGUGAAAUGCGUAGAGAUCGGGAGGAAUACCAGUGGCGAAGGCGGCCUUCUGGACUGACACUGACACUGAGGUGCGAAAGCGUGGGUAGCAAACAGGAUUAGAUACCCGAGUAGUC